rnacentral:rRNA from 1 species
AACCCGGUGAACUGAAACAUCUAAGUAGCCGGAGGAAGAGAAAUCAAACGAGAUGCCCACAGUAGCGGCGAGCGAAGAGGGCAGAGCCUAAACCAGUCAUCUUCGGAUGGUUGGGGUUACGGACCUGCAUCAACCGAGUCCUACCUAGUCGAAUUACCUGGAAAGGUAAGCCAGAGAGCGUAAGAGCCGCGUAGGUGAAAGGAAGGACGAGGGGGCAGGGAUCCAGAGUACCACGAAGCACGAGGAAUUUUGUGGGAAGUCGGGGGGACCACCCUCCAAGGCUAAACACUUCUUAGUGACCGAUAGCGCAUAGUACCGUGAGGGAAAGGUGAAAAGAACCGCGGGAGCGGAGUGAAAGAGAACCUGAAACCGUAUGUCUACAAGCAGUCGGAGCGCAAGCGACGGCGUGCCUAUUGAAGAAUGAGCCAACGAGUUACGGGCACCAGCGAGGUUAAGCAGGAAAUGCGGAGCCGGAGCGAAAGCGAGUCUAAACAGGGCGAAUAGUUGGUGUUCGUAGACCCGAAACUGUAGUGAUCUACCCAUGAUCAGGUUGAAGCGCAGGUAAAAAUGCGUGGAGGACCGAACCGGUGAGCGUUGAAAAGCUUUCGGAUGAAUCGUGGGUAGCGGUGAAAUUCCAAUCGAACGCAGAGAUAGCUGGUUCUCCUCGAAAUAGCUUUAGGGCUAGCCUCAAGCAGUAAGCAUAGGCGGUAGAGCACUGAUCGGGAUAGGGUCCGUAAAGGAUACCGAACCCUGUCAAACUACGAAUGGUUAUGCUGCAGAGCUUGGGAGUCAGACUACGAGAGAUAAGUCCCGUUGUCAAAAGGGAAACAGCCCAGACCGUCAGCUAAGGUCCCCAAUGCCAUACUAAGUGGAAAAGGAUGUGGGGUCUCAUAAACAACCAGGAUGUUGGCUCAGAAGCAGCCACCAUUUAAAGAGUGCGUAAUAGCUCACUGGUCGAGAGGCCCUGCGCCGAAGAUUCCCGGGGCUAAAGUAUGGAACCGAAGCUACGGAUGCGGUACUUGUACCGCGUGGUAGAGGAGCGUUCCCAUUGGGUUGAAGUCGUCCUGGAAGGGACGGUGGACUGGUGGGAAGUGAGAAUGUUGGCAUGAGUAGCGAAAAGAUAGGUGAGAAUCCUAUCCACCGAAAGCAUAAGGAUUCCUGAGCAACGAUCGUCGUCUCAGGGUAAGUCGGGACCUAAUCCGAGGCAUGGAGCGUAGGAGAUGGACAACUGGUUGAUAUUCCAGUACCGGCAGCAAUCGUUUGAACGAUGGAGUGACGCAGGAAGGCAGGUCCGCGCGAGAAUGGUAGAUCGCGUACAAGCGUGCAGGCUGGUGCACAGGCAAAUCCGUGUACUGAGGCUGAGGCGUGAUGUGGAGGGAACUUGUUCCCGAAGGGAUUGAGCCUACGCUGCCGAGAAAAGCUUCUAGUGAGAAAGCUGCCGCCCGUACCGUAAACCGACACAGGUAUGCGGGGAGAGAAUCCUAAGGUGCGCGGGAGAACCCUCGUUAAGGAACUCGGCAAAAUGUACCCGUAACUUCGGGAUAAGGGUAGCCACAGUGGUGAAGGGACUUGCUCCUGGAGCCUAGUGUGGUCGCAGAGAAGAGGCCCAAGCGACUGUUAACCAGAAACACAGGUGCCUGCGAAAGAGAAAUCUGAUGUAUAGGUGCUGACACCUGCCCAGUGCUGGAAGGUUAAAGAAGGAUGUCCGGGUUCGACCCAAAGCAUUUGACUGAAGCCCCAGUGAACGGCGGCCGUAACUAUAACGGUCCUAAGGUAGCGAAAUUCCUUGUCGGGUAAGUUCCGACCCGCACGAAAGGUGUAACGAUUUGGGCACUGUCUCAACGAGGGACCCGGUGAAAUUGAAAUACCUGUGAAGAUGCAGGUUACCCGCGACUGGACAGAAAGACCCCAUGGAGCUUUACUGUAACCUAAUAUUGGGUUCUGAUAUUCGACGCACAGGAUAGGUGGGAGGCUUGGAGCAUGGUCCUCUGGGAUCAUGGGAGCCGCCGUUGGGAUACCACCCUUCGAAUAUCGGGAUUCUAACCGCAGGAGCAACGAUCCUCGGGACAGUGUUAGGCGGGCAGUUUGACUGGGGCGGUCGCCUCCUAAAGAGUAACGGAGGCGCCCAAAGGUUCCCUCAGCGCGGACGGAAACCGCGCGACGAGUGUAAAGGCAGAAGGGAGCUUGACUGCGAGCCAAACACGGCGAGCAGGUACGAAAGUAGGGCUUAGUGAUCCGGUGGCAUCCAAGUGGAAGGGCCAUCGCUCAACGGAUAAAAGCUACCCUGG